ensembl:miRNA MIR153-1 microRNA 153-1
ACGGCUGCCAGCGUCAUUUUUGUGAUCUGCAGCUAGUAUUCUCACUCCAGUUGCAUAGUCACAAAAGUGAUCACUGGCAGGUGUGGCCGCUGCA